GUUUAUGGGAUAUACCAAGUUCAGUUGUGUCUAAUAAAUUGUUAGUAUCCAUCACUGGGCUUUGUUUAUCUCAUAAC
rnacentral:pre_miRNA from 12 species